rnacentral:siRNA from 1 species
AUGAGUUGAUGAGUCAAUUGGU